rnacentral:rRNA from 1 species
AGCUAAUAGAUACCCAGGUAGUCCACGCCCUAAACGAUGUCUACUAGUUGUUGGUGGAGUAAAAUCCAUGAGUAAACGCAGCUAACGCGUGAAGUAGACCGCCUGGGGAGUACGGUCGCAAGAUUAAAACUCAAAGGAAUUGGCGGGGGCCCGCACAAGCGGUGGAUUAUGUGGAUUAAUUCGAUGCAACGCGAAAACCUUACCUGGCCUUGACAUGCCACUAACGAAGCAGAGAUGCAUUAGGUGCCCGUAAGGGAAAGUGGACACAGGUGCUGCAUGGCUGUCGUCAGCUCGUGUCGUGAGAUGUUGGGUUAAGUCCCGCAACGAGCGCAACCCUUGCCAUUAAUUGCCAUCAUUUAGUUGGGCACUUUAAUGGGACUGCCGGUGACAAACCGGAGGAAGGUGGGGAUGACGUCAAGUCCUCAUGGCCCUUAUGGCCAGGGCUUCACACGUAAUACAAUGGUCGGUACAGAGAGUUGCAACCCGCGAGGGGAGCUAAUCUCAGAAAGCCGAUCGUAGUCCGGAUUGUUCUCU